CCAUGCGGACGGAUUGUGACAGUUCGGCGCAGACAGUGUAUCAUCUACAAGCUGGGGUUCUCUAUGGAUAGAGAAAUUAUGUUUCGUUUACGAGACCACAUAACUCUGCCAAGUUGAAAGCAUGGAAAAACUGCAUCAGUCACAGCAGGUGAGGAUGGUCCAGUAAGAACAAAGCAGUGUGUGUGUGUGUGUGUGUGCACGCGCGUGUGUGUGUGUGUGUGUGUGUGUGUGCAUCUGCCGAACGUGCCAUGAGCAGUUCCAUUCGACUUUUAAGGGCUGAACAGAUAUUAGUGCCAGAGUGUACUACAUUUACAUCGUCCUCGACAGGGUCAACAAGUGUGAGUGAUGUCAGUGCCCGACCACACAAGGUUUGUGGGCCGCAGCCUAGUUCUUCCUCGAAUACAGUAAUUGAGGAUCAUCUCAAUUGAUAUCUCAGCUACACUGACGUUGGCAAUGUUCAUGUUGACGAUCAUUGAUAAUAGACAUCUGUGCGCACCCCCCCCACACACACCCACAC